UUUCCGUAGGUGAACCUGCGGAAGGAUCAUUAUUGAAUAACCGAGGUGCGAGGGCUGUCGCUGACCCGAAAGGUCGUGCACGCCCGAGUGCCCUCACACACAUCCAUCUCACCCCUAUGUGCACCACCGCGUGGGUCCCCCUUUGGCUUGUUCGGAGGGGGGCUUACGUUUUCACACAAACUUUGUAUGCAGUGUAGAAUGUAUUUUUUGUUUUUGCGAUCACGCAAUCAAUACAACUUUUAACAACGGAUCUCUUGGCUCUC
rnacentral:misc_RNA from 1 species